rnacentral:lncRNA from 1 species
CAUACAUAUAAUAGAUUUCAUUUGAUUAUAAUUAUUUACCUUAAAGUUGUCUUGUAAAUAUGUUUAUAUGUUUUUAAACCAACAUUUUUCUUUUACAUACAUAUAUAAUUUAUUUCUUUUGGGAAACUUACUUUGUUUAAUUUACCAUUUUCAAGUUUUACAUAUAUUGUUGUAAGUAUAUCACUUUAUAUAUUUUAAUUUCCUUCUUAUAUAAUAUUUGCUUCAAAA